GGUUCUAUCUCCAGGACCAAAAUACACAAAUAAUUGGAAGGAUAUGGAGAUGACAAGCAUGGCCCCUGUGCAAGGAUGACAUGCAAAUGUGUGAAGUGUUCCAGGAUUUU
rnacentral:snRNA from 1 species